rnacentral:lncRNA from 1 species
AUGAUGGUAGCUGGACCUAAUCUUUAUAAAUCAGCAUAUCCCAUUGUCAGUGUCACUAGGGUAUCCUGUGCAUGCAAACUUCCCAUGUACAUUAAUUACUUUAAUUCACGUAUUGUUCUUUCAACUUUUUUUUUUUUUUUUUUUUUUUUGGCUGCUUGCAAUGACAAUAUCUGCGGUUUGGACACCAGCAUCAAUACCUCCAGCAACAGGAAUAGAUACAACAGUUCCAACAACAAUCCAGCCCACUGGAAGUAAGUAGCAUGUAUAAGAUUUAUUUUUCUCUCUCUCUCUUUUUUUUUUUUUUUUUUUAAUGAUAGCAAUCACUUUAGAUUUUUCUAGUCCUCUUUGUUAUUGGGCAGUAAUUUGUCCGAUGAAGAGGCUUGUGUGCUCACUGUUUGUUGGAGCUGGGGAGGUGUGAGUGCGCGUAGCUAUUUGGAGGGCCUUUAUCAUAGAACCAUUAGGGUUGGAAAAGCCCUCCAAGAUCAUCUGGUCCAACCACCCCCAUCACCCACUGAGCCGUGUCCCCAAGCACCACGUCCAACCUCUCCUGGAGCACCCCUAGGGACGGUGCCACCACCACCUCCCUGGGCAACCCGUCCCAACACCUGGCUGCUCGUCCUGAGGAGAAAUGGCUCCUCAUUGCCAACUUGAAUCUCCCCUCAUGCAACCUGAGGCCAUUCCCUCUGCUCCUAUCGCUAGUUACCUGUGAGAAGAGGCCGACCCCAGCUCCCCACACCUUCCUUUCAGGGAGCUGCAGAGAGCAAUGAGGUCUGCCCUGAGCCUCCUCUUCUCCAGACUAAACAACCCCAGUGCCCUCAGCCGAACCUCAUAGGACUUGUGUAGGGCCACAGAGCAGGCGUUGAGCCAGAGCUUCCCCUGCAAGAUGCGUUUUGACUGGGGAUUGUCUGGGGUCUCUCAGGAAAGAGCACAGUGUGCUGACAACUCCCAAAGGAUUCAUCCUAACUUUGUUGUUCUCUCUUUUUUUCCCCACUGCUGCUGCUGCUUCUCCCCAUGUGCAGUCAUAGCUGAUGGUGAGUCUGCCUGACAGGGCGCUGUGGCCCCAUGCACUGCAAAGCACAGGCCCAAUGCUGCCCCAGCCUCGUCACCCACCAGCAGGGAGGCCGGGACAGGGCAGCCAGCCCUAUGUGGUGCUGCGGGUGACUCCCGCACACGCCUAACGCAGCAUCUUGUUGCCUUUCCAAGAGCUGGAGGUGCGUCUGACCGACGGGCCCGACCGCUGUGCAGGCAACG